rnacentral:pre_miRNA from 1 species
AAGAGCAAGAUGGAGAAGCAGGGCACGUGCUUUACUAACUCAGUUCCAAUUCAAAAAUCCCUUCUUUUCUUUUUCUUUCUCUUUUUCUUUUUCCCAAUGUUUGUUAAGAAGUGAUUUUGAAAUUUGGAAGAAAAAGGGGUUUUUUUCUUUUUCUUUUUCUUUUUAAUGUAUUUUUGAGUUAGUUCUUCAUGUGCCCCUCUUCACCAUCAAGACCAC